GUCCUUUUGAUUUUUAUUUAAGGUCUAGUCUGCCCACUGAAUUUGAAUUUUAAAUGGCCGCAGUAUUUUGACUGUGCAAAGGUAGCAUAAUCAUUAGUUUUUUAAUUAAAAGCUUGUAUGAAAGGCUGGACGAGGUAAGAGCUGUCUCUAUAUAAAUUAUAUUAGAAUUUAACUUUUAAGUCAAAAGGCUUAAAUAUUAUUAAAAGACGAGAAGACCCUAUAGAGCUUUAUAAUUUAUUUAAUAAAAUUAAUUUAGAAUUAUUUGUGUUUUAUUUUAUGAAAUUAUUUUAUUGGGGUAAUAGGGAGAUUGAAUUAAUUCUCUUUUUUUAUAAACAUUGAUUUAUGAAUAUGAAAUGAUCCAAUUUUAUUGAUUAUAAGAUUAAGUUACCUUAGGGAUAACAGCGUAAUUUUUUUAGAGAGUUCAUAUCGAUAAGAAAGUUUGCGACCUCGAUGUUGGAUUAAAGAUUAUUUUAGGUGUAGAAGCUUAAUAAAUUUGGUCUGUUCGACCAUUAAAUCUUUAC
rnacentral:rRNA from 1 species